UACGUAGGGACCAAGCGUUGUUCGGAUUUACUGGGCGUAAAGGGCGCGUAGGCGGCGUUGUAAGUCACUUGUGAAAUCUCCGGGCUUAACUCGGAACGGCCAAGUGAUACUGCAGUGCUAGAGUGCGGAAGGGGCAAUCGGAAUUCUUGGUGUAGCGGUGAAAUGCGUAGAUAUCAAGAGGAACACCUGAGGUGAAGACGGGUUGCUGGGCCGACACUGACGCUGAGGCGCGAAAGCCAGGGGAGCAAACGGGAUUAGAAACCCCCGUAGUCC
rnacentral:rRNA from 1 species